rnacentral:rRNA from 1 species
AUUGAACGCUGGCGGCAUGCCUUACACAUGCAAGUCGAACGGCAGCGGACCUUCGGGUGCCGGCGAGUGGCGAACGGGUGAGUAAUAUAUCGGAACGUACCUUUCAGUGGGGGAUAACGUAGCGAAAGUUACGCUAAUACCGCAUAUUCUGUGAGCAGGAAAGCAGGGGAUCGCAAGACCUUGCGCUGAUUGAGCGGCCGAUAUCAGAUUAGCUAGUUGGUGAGGUAAAGGCUCACCAAGGCGACGAUCUGUAGCGGGUCUGAGAGGAUGAUCCGCCACACUGGAACUGAGACACGGUCCAGACUCCUACGGGAGGCAGCAGUGGGGAAUUUUGGACAAUGGGCGCAAGCCUGAUCCAGCCAUGCCGCGUGAGUGAAGAAGGCCUGGUGUAAGACUCUUCGUCCGGGACGAAUACGCACAGGUUAAUACCCUAGUGUGGAUGACGGUACCGGAACGUAAGAAGAC